UAAAGAAGCACGUCUGUUAAUGCAAAAUUUCUGUCAAACUAGACAAAACCACAAAAUAUAUUAGUGAGACUUCGGCAAAGUUAGUUAAUAUGCGACUCGAUAUAAGUUUAUUGAGUUGAAGUUGUUAUUCUACAAAAAAAAAAAAGAUUACUUUUUGAUAGCCAUCUGAUGUAUUAUCAUCCCACCCACCCACUAUCUAGUGAACAUCUAUCCAAACCAACUACUUCCUUGAUACUUUUUCAGGUUAUAGAGUCUAAAAUCAGCCCUUAAGGGAUCCACUUGUCCUUCCCAGGUAAUUGCAGAAUGCUGAAUCUUUUCACUUAUUCCAAAACAAAUUAACACUGAGAAUUGGUUAGGAAAAAAAGUAACACAAUGAGGAGGCAUUUGGACAUGAAUCAUUUGACAAUAAUUCACAAGGGUGAAUUGAGUGUGUGUAUACGUGUGUGUGUGUGUGUGUGUAUACGAAACUAAAUUGAAAAAAGGUAUUAGGAAGUUGAAGUGUGUUUAAAAAUACAUAAUUGAAGUUUUGUCAAUGAAACUUCAAGAAACAUGAGACUCCUAAAACCUGGUUUUCAAAUUGAGAUUCCAUAUUUCAUGUUUGAAGUUGAAAUAAAGUUCAUUUGAUAAACAAACACUUGAAAUAAAAACAUUUUUUCAAAAUUAAGAAACAAAAGCUAUGGAGAAUAAGCUACUCAGAAUACAUGAAAUCAUCCACCUCAAUCUCGUCUAAACUUACAAGUUGCAUCUUCUUCUGCACUAAAAAGGGAUGGAACUGGAAAGCAUCAUCAGAUGGAAGAAGAAAUGAAAAUAAAACAAUGGGCAAGUGAUGCAAAAUGAGAGAUCAGAAUAUUCAAUUUAAAAAGGGACAAGCAUCCAAGGACUGGAAUGGGAACCACUGUCACUAUCUCAUAAGUUUAACCAAAGUUGAUAGGCUCUGAAGGUGAGUGCCAUAACUAUCCUCUCCCACGAAACGAUUUUGGAUAACCUACUCAUCACCCUCUCUCUUUUGAGCGGUCAACAAGACUCCAACCAAGUAACAUUUUUGUCUAGCCAUUUAAGGAGAAAAAACAUGCAUCACCCACUUACUCUUAACAAGGACUCUUUUCAGUAUUUUCCAAAACACAGCAAUUAGGAAUAGAGAAUAUAUAUCAAAGAAAGGUCUAACUGUUGGAAGCAUCUUUUCCAUUGCUAUUUGAUACAUUUCGGUCAUUAACAUUAGUGAAUUAGGUGAAAGUGCGGAAAG
rnacentral:lncRNA from 1 species